CUGGGUAGCCUACCAGACGAAUUUAGCCCUGCCCACAACAUUUGAGGUCGGGAAGUCUGACUAGAAUUAUGAGUAGGACAACGUCAGGCUACCAAACGGGAACCUUUUCUUAAAAAUGAAACGAAGCUUCUCGAUAGCAAUUCGCUCGUCCUUGUCACAAUCGCCUGCCUAGAUGAAAGUAAAACAGAACUUCGCUUAGCUGCAUGUAUCAGUUACGCUCGACACCGAGGUCGUUCAAGUGCUUCAAGUUUUAUUUAAGCUUCCAAGCCUCGGUUUCAAGGGGAUAAUUACUACCUGUCAUAGGUUUUACCUUCAUUUUUUUUAUCAUGGGAAUAUUCUGUGUGUUCAUUGUCGUUGACAAUGUUAAGCCAUUCUCGCUCUUCGAGUCAGGAGAAGACGUUUUAUCCGCGUUGGAGGUGUCUGACUUAAACAUAAAGCAGAGAAAAAUAGAUCAUUAUUCUUCACAACCCUUUCUGAAGCCGACCAUGUCUUUAUUUGAAGUUAUUGUCUGUAAACUUCGGAAAUUCACGUUAUUUAGAAGACUCCGGACAGAAGUCUGCUCAUCCCAACAGAACAAUGUUAGUGAUAAAGGAGCUGUCAAAGAGGUUGCCUUACAACUGAACAGAACUCUAAAGGGUCAGGCAGUGUCUCUGUUACCCAGCAUCCUUAGCGAUCAUUGGAGUAUUGAUGACUGUCGAGAUGCUAUCCUAAGAUGGGCAGACGAAUUGCAACACCUACAGUUAAAGGCAGAGCAGACGCAGGCUGAACCCAACACUUCUUCCAGUACAGCUGCGGAGAGAAGGAUGGUCUCGGCGAGUUCGAGCCCAAACGACCGUGAGGAGGAGAGACUUCGGGAGGCCCAGCUGACCUUAAAACAGUGGGCUAACAGCCUGAAAGCACUUCCUGAGGGUUCUGUGAGUUUGGGGACGGAUGUGGGGGGUGUACUGGAGGAUCUGGACAAGCAAUGGAGGAGGGGGCAGCUGCCCAACAUGCUCCCAGCCCUGGAGGUCAUCGUGAGGAGCGUGAUGCAGAGUCAACAAAGACCAGAGGUUCCCCAGCUGCAAUUACUUACCGCAGACAACACAUGAAACACAUUCAACACCCACCAGACUAGUCUCAUCUGUCAUUACUUACAGCAGACAACACAUGAAACACAUUCAACACCCACCAGACUAGUCUCAGCUGUCAUUACUCUGCUACUGCAAACAACAAAACGAUACGUCUCACUGCUUUUCGUCCAGUCAAGGAACAGAUCAGUUAACACAUAGAUCUGAUUAAACAUGUUACUCAUAUGGAGGUGUUCCAGUUCAGAGAAUGCUGACUGAAAUGGAAACUCCUAACACUGGCAUGUUCCAGGAGCUGCUAUAAAUACCCAGCUCAUGAUUCACCAGAUUUCCAAGAAGUGUUCCUUCCCAACACUGAGUCAUAUUGGAUAUAUUAAAUCACUGAGUAAAGAAUGUUUGACUGAGUGAGCUGUAAGGUCAUUGUCUUGAUGUCUGACUGAGUGAGCUGUAAGGUAAUAUGACUGACUGAGUGAGCUGUAAGGUCACUGUCUUGUUCGUGUUUACAGGUUGUCAUCCCUAUGAAGUGGAUCUGUAAACCGAGAAAAAGCUACUCUGGCUGGGGUAACACUGGCUGGAGGCCUUCUUCGCACUCAAGGUUUCUUACAACGUGCAGCUGACUUUCUUUUUCUGUUCCUGAGUUCUUAUGAAUACAACAU
ensembl:lncRNA